UCUUUAAUAGUUCCUGUACUUAAUCCUGAUUCUGUUUAUUCUGGAAGUCACGACAGGGACCCUCGGAUACAUCAACAGUGUUCAAGUAGACACUACUGACCUGGAUCAUUUUAAUGAGAUCUUCAAGAACUAUACUGGUAACAACUCCACGUUCGAGAGUAGAGCAGUGGACCGGCUACAGCAGCAGAACCAGUGUUGUGGAGUGAAGAAUUACACCGACUGGACUCAGUUUCCAUGGUUCAUUCACAGCGGGAAUAACAGUGUUCCCAUCAGCUGCUGUGCCAGGAAUCUUACAAUCUGUACUGGGGAUAUCGAGGAGCCAGAACUGCUUUAUACAGAGGGCUGCCUCUACACCCUCCGUGAUGAGCUUCGAUGGAUAUUCCUGUUCACGUUAGCCUGGGUUAUUGCUGUGUGCUUUUUACAGAGCCUGGGAGCACUGAUCAUCUGUCUGCUGACGAACUCUGAUCCUACUCAAUACCAGCUUUUAAAUACUGACAACUUCUCCUAGUACAGGACGGUUGCUGAUUGUCUGUCACUAAUCCAUGCAAAUAAAAUCAAACAAACCUUGAAUAUCAAACAGCGCCAUGCACAAAUAAAAAACACUUAUUUACUAAUUGUUUGAGAGAGACAGUGCCACCUUUUCACCCAUUGAAUCAACCUCUCUAGUUCAACAUUCUACUCCCCCAACCAGUAAGGAAGCCUCCAAUCCAGUUACUUCUGUCAUUCAGUCACACUCCCAUGUUUUGAGACACUCCCCUCAUCUUCAUCACCCAACCCUCCUCCCUAUGCUGGAAAGUGACCCCCACUGAAACUGCACAAGAAACGCAGUUUUCAACUAAUUCACCUGAGCACCCAGAAUUCUGUAAUCUGUUUGUCUAAAACUAGAACAAGCUACCUCAUGGCACAGUACUUUCACACAAGCUAACAGCUAUGACCUGUGGAUAUUAGGUGGUAUCAUCGCUUGGCUUAAUGUAACAUGUAUUUUCAUUUCAAACUAAGCAGCGAAUAAAAAUGUACAUUUUAAUUGAGA